AGCGGCAAACUCACUCACUCAGGCCUCGGGCCACAAAGAAGCAUGCAAUGAACAGCCGUCAAUCUAGUUUGGGACUAUUGACCGAGGAAGGGGAGACAGUGGAGACUGGAUGAUUGGAAAAAAUUGAGGCCUUCAAAGCUUGCUGCCUCGUGAGCAAAGCAUUCAGAAACGGAGAGGCACCAUAAGGAGCACAGUUAAAUCAACAUAAUGAAAGCAGAAAGUGGCUCCUCUGGGAAGAGUAUCCAGGUGAUAGGCAUCUCAACGACUCUAUCACGAGCUAUAUCAUUGUUCCAGAUGGAUGACGUUGAGCUUAAAGCAAUAGUUUCCUUGCGAUGUGUAAAACACUUAAAGUUUCCAGUGUUAUUAGAUUAGGUGAUUAGAUACUUUAAUGGUCCCUGUGGGGGAAACUGGCUCUAGAUAAGAAUUAAACAGAAAGCACUAAAGAUAAUACUACAUGCAAUUUGUAAAAACGAGCACCUGAGUGAGUGUCUCACUCAUUAGGAAAGGUGUUAAUAUAAGGAAAUAAGGGCUAAGAUAAGGGGAAAGAGCUAAAAGGAGCCAAAGUUUAAAUCAGUGUAUUUUUUAUAAAACUGGUCGUGGUGACAAGGCUAUGGAGAAUUAACGUCCCGCUUUACUGUUUUAAUCAAUUCUAUAAUACCUUUUAAUCUCUUUCAGUUCAUUACUUGUGAUUAAAGUCUUGCAAUUUUACGGUUUUGUUCACUCCUGUUAUUCUACUUUGUUUCCACAUAAAGACUCAUUUCCAGGAGCACCAGCAAAUGAAAACUUUAAUAAACCCACUUGUAUCAACUGUCUUACACUAAGUGAUACACAAGUGUAAGACCCAACACCAGACGCAUUUUCUGGAGCUGGAGAAGACCAAAUUAGAGUUGAUAGAAGAGGCACAACUGGACGUACUGAUGUCAGUAUCCAUGCAUCCAGUUCCAGUUGUUAAUCAGUUACAGCUACUCUGGCGUUAACGAAAUUAACACCAGGUGCACUAGACAGGCAACGAUGAAACAAUCCCCAAAACGGCUUUACAGAUGGAGGCCACUGACAUUCCUCCACCCCCAUCACCUUUUCUGACUCUAAGUCACAGGGUCAGUGUCACUACUGCUCUAAUGAG
ensembl:lncRNA